CGGGUCUUCUUCGGCGUCGUCCGCCCUCGCUUUGGGCGCUCCAACCUCGGGUUCUCACUUUGUAGCGAGAGGGGUUGUGCGAGGCCGCGCCGCCCUGGGGCGGGCGCAGGGAAGGUCGGCUGCUGGGGGGCGCUCUUUUCUUUCCUCUCCCCGCGCCCAGACUCUUGCAUUCGUUUAUUCUUUUGGCGCCGAGCGCACGGAUGCGUUCGCGGCGGGGCGCUGCCGGGGAGGCGGGUCCGCAGCUGCCACUGGGCUGUGUUUACAUUCGCGUCUCCACAGCCCGGCCGCGUGACCAAGCCGGAGCAGAGGCAGGGUCUUUCUAUGUCAUCUAGGCUGAUCUUGACCUCCUGGCCUCAAGUGAUCCUCCUGCCUCAGAUUCCCAAAGUGCUGGGAUUACAGGAAACACAGUGGAUACUGGAACAAGAUAAACACCAUGAGGAAAUAAUCAUCUCCAGAAUGGUGGGACAUUAUACAAAACAAUUGACCUGAAUGCUCCAAAAAACAUUAAUGGGCAAGAUCACCUCCUUGGCAGACAGAGUACAAACAAGAGCAAAUUUCUCCUCAGAUGAGGUAAUCCGCGGCUCCUCUAGUUAGAGAUUUUUGAGCAAUUACCUAGAAUGGAGUUUUCCAGCAAAGACCCUGAGCCAGGGGUGCCCACAGAUGCUGACAGCUCUAGUUCUUUGGUUCUCGAACAUUCACAUACUCAAGAAUCAGCUGGGAGCUUGUGUAAUGCAGAGUUCCUAGGCCUGCCACAAUGCUGCUGACCAAGCAACUCUCAGCCUCAGCUGCACAUUGAAAUCCCCUGGGCAGCUUUAGAAAUACUGGUGCUCAAGUUCUCCCAGCCCCCACUAGAAAUUUUGCUUAUAUGCUUUGGGGUAUGGCCUGGGCAUGGGGAUUUUCCAGAGUUCUCACAGUAGUCUACUAUGCAGCCAGGCCUGGGAACCACUGGCAAGAAAAAUGCCUCUGUGGACUUGUAUUCCUAUUUUCCUUUUCCUCUUGGAAAGUCUUUUUUCCUAAGUUUCUUCCACAUUCCAUCAGCAGUGGAGCACAAGAGUAGAACUCAGGGACCAUCUAGUCCAACUCCCUCAGUUUGCAGGAGGCGAACCGACCACCCAAGGCCACAGGGCUAUGCAGUCAGCCCCUGGGUGCAGCCUCCCUCUCACAUUGUCCUGCCCCCAUUGUGUUGCCUGCUGGGAAACAGAGGGAAUUUCGUAUGAAGCAAAAUGCUAUAAAACAUUAGAAAUGAGGAAUAAUAUAAUCAUAUUAUAUUAUUUGGUCCUUUAAAGAUCUUUAAAAGUCCCCAUCAAUUUGUAACUUCAUACUAUCUUCCAUAUUUAUAGAGUAAUGCUGGUUUCCUAGGGGCAAUUACUCAUGUUCCCAACAGGCCACAGAUUGACUGAAAAUGGGUGUGCUCUUGUCCCUAACUCUCACUCUCAGGGACAGAUUGGAUUUGGUCAGGCUGAUGGACAGGCUGAGCUUCCAGGGAAGUAUUUUAGCAGUUGAUCCUUGCUUUUCUUUCCUAAAUCUCCAUGAAUAUGUAUACAUCAGGUAUCUUGUGUGUAUCAGGCUAAUGCCUUCCAUGGCCUACUAGCAAAGUGGAAAUUGGUCAGAUCAGGGGUUCCUGGACAAGAGACUUCUCAGCUAGCAAUUUAUUGAGGAAAAGGCCCUAAUAUGCCCACUUUCCUUGUGUGUAGGGGUGUGGGGGUGGGUGCUGCUAAGGAGGGCUGCUCCCCUUGGGAGCCCUGCAAGGGGGUGAGUAUGUGUAUAGUCAUCCUAAGACUCAUCAAUGCCUUGCCAGUUUUUUCAGUGCCCCAUUUUGUAGAAGAGAGUUCAUUCUAUAGAGAACAAACUGCUAACAGGAAAACCACCCAUGCAUUUCUACUGUUAGAUUCAAGCCACCUGUUAGCAUCAUAUCAGUGUCCUGGAGAGGCUCAAUUCUUCAUUUCAUUCAUUUCUCAUUUCUUCCUUCCCAUUGUUCCACAGACAUUGAUUGUGUGCCUGUUAUGUCAUAAGGUAAGUGAUAUAAUAAUAGUUUCAGGAUUGGGUCACCCCGGAGGGAGCUGGGAAUUUCUGGGCCUUGGAAUUUCUGCUGGGCAGUCCCUGCCUAUAGAAAGAGAUUAUCUGAGUGUUUUAGUGAAACACUAAAAAAUCAGCAUGAAAUGAUAAGUUUGUUGUCCCAUAUUUAUAUAAGUAUAUAAAAACACAUUUGAUUUCAGAAUUAGAAGUACAAGUUUGCCAGUAAUAAGCUCAUUAUUUGAAAGACUUGUUCAAUUCUGACUAAUACAGUGAAAGGAACUUAAACCUUCUAAAAGGAAAAACCCCAAAUCUAUAAUCAGUUUAUACAGAACUGGAUAAAAAUGAUCCUGCUUAAAUCACAAGAAUGUCUAUUCUCAAUUCAAGAAAGAAAUUGAAAUACAAUCUUAUAUUUAUCAUUCUUCAUGAUGACAAAUGAUAACAUAAUUCUAACGAAUUGCUGACCAAAGAAGAUAUACAAAUGGCCAAUGAACACAUGAAAAGAUGCCCAGAAUCAUUAGCCAUCAGGAAAUGCAAAUGACUAUCCCAGUGAGGUACUACUUCAUAUCCACUAUAAUUUGAAACAAGAUAAUAACAAGUCUUGGUGAGAAUGUGGGGAAAUUAGAACCCUCAGGCACUGCUGGUGGAGAUGGAAAAUGGUGCAGCCACUUUGGAAAACAGUCUGGCAGUUCCUAAAAAAGUUAAACACAGUUACCAUAACCCAGGAAUUCCACUCCUACAUGGAAUCAUAUAGAUAUAUACCCAAGAGAAAUUAAAUCCUAAGUAUAUGCCUGAGAAAAAGUACUCAAGAGAAAUUAAAACAUAUGUCCACACAAAAACUUGUAUGUAAAUGUUCAUGGCAGCAUUAUUCGUAAUAGUUGAAAAGUAGGAACAACUAUUAACUGAUGAAUGGAUAAGUAAAAUGUGAUAUAUCCAUAAAAUGUAAUGUGAUUUAGUGGGGGAAAAAACAAAGUACUGGUACAUGCUAUAUAUGGUAUGCUAAGUGAAAGAAACCAGUCAGAAAAGUCUGUAUAUUUAUGAUUUCAUUGAUAUGAAAUAUCUAGAAUAGGCCAUUCUAUAGAGACAAAAGGUGGACAGUAGUUGUCCAGGGUUGUAGGGGACUGAGAGGGCAGAAUGAGAGUGACUGCUAAUGGAUAUGGGGUUUCUUUUGAAGGUGAUGAAAAUGUGCUAAAAUGGACUGUAGUGCUAUUUGAAUAUAUCUGUGAAUACAUAAAAAAAUACUGAAUUAGGUACUUUAAAAGGCAUAAUGAAUGAAUUUUAUCUCAAAGUUGUUCAAUUAUAACCUGUGAACAGUUGAUAGUUUUUCCAUGUGUGUCUAAUUUUGUGAAGGUAGGAUAAAGAAAAAAAUUGCAAAAAAAAUGAGGAUACUAUUUUUUAUAUCCAAACAGAAAACCAGAUCUAACUAUUGCUUAAUACCUUUGAGUUGAGAGACAGUGGUUUAACUCUGCUUCCCAUAGUUCAUGACAAUUUAGAGAGAUGUCUAUUUUAAUUGCAUAGUUUUGUUUCUCUAUUGCUAUGUCACAAAUUAUCCCCACAACUCAUCAGCUUAAAACAAUAAUAAACAUAUUUAUCUCACACAGUUUCUUCAGGUCAGGAAUUCAAGAAUGGAGCAUCUUGGUGGUUCUGGCUCAAGGUUGUAGUCCAGAUGACUGUUGGGGCUGUAGUCAUCUGAAGGCUUGACUGGUCCUGGAGAAUCUGUUUCUCAGAUGAUGUACUCACAUCACAUGACUGGCAAGUUGAUGUUGACUCUUUUUUUUUUUGAGACAGAGUCUCGCUUUGUUGCCCAGGCUAGAGUGAGUGCCGUGGCGUCAG